UCGCAAUGAUGAAUGCUUCCAAAGCCAUUCGUAGUUUCCUCCAGACCUGAGUCGAAAGGCUCAUGAUGGCUAAAUACCUUCCUUGGAUGUCUGAGCGA